UACGUAGGGUGCAAGCGUUGUCCGGAUUUAUUGGGCGUAAAGAGCUCGUAGGCGGUUAGUCACGUCGGAUGUGAAAACCAGAAGCUUAACUUCUGGCCUGCAUUCGAUACGGGCUGACUAGAGUGUUGUAGGGGAGACUGGAACUCCUGGUGUAGCGGUGAAAUGCGCAGAUAUCAGGAAGAACACCGGUGGCGAAGGCGGGUCUCUGGGCAACUACUGACGCUGAGGAGCGAAAGCGUGGGGAGCAAACAGG
rnacentral:rRNA from 1 species